rnacentral:lncRNA from 10 species
UCAAUGCAAGGAAGCAGAUCCCAUUGUCCAUGCUGGUGCCAGCUCCCAGGGUGCCUUCCUCUGCCCUCUGCCCCCUAUGUGAGAUCGCAGCAUGAGCAGGGUCCUUUCAGGUGGAGCUGACCCAGAGCUCGACCCGCCCCACCAGGAGGGAGUUCCCCAGAGCUCAGAGUGUUCCAGCAGGGCCUGGAAAUUCUCUUCUGUUUCUAAGAUUCUGCCAUUUGAUUCUAAAAUUCUAAGGACUCUUUAUUCUUUUUUGUUUGCUUUAAUUAACUUUUGACCAUGUAAUACAUCGACAUGAUUCAAAAUACAAAAAGCACAAAAAAGUAUACAAAGAAAGUCUCCUCACUAUCUUUCCAGACAGAUUUUAAGCACAUGCACAUGUACAUAUGCAUUUCCUUUUUCUUUUUUCUUUAAACACAAACAGUCGCCUACUCCACCCUCUGUUCCGCACCUUAACAGAAUUCUUGGAGCUCCUUCUUCGCUGCAUUAAAGCAUCCCUGUUGGUAUCCAUCCCUUGCUCCUGCUCCCUGGUCUGGAUAUUCCCUGAUUCCCUAGGCGUCUAGCCAGUUCCCUGUUGAUAGACCGGAUCGACAUCCCAGCUGCUUUCUGUCUUUUGCCAGGACGAUGUGGUGGUGACCUGGGAGAGGAAUUUCUGGGUGAAGAAUGUGUACUUUCAUCAUUUUGAUCUUGCCAAAUGGCCUCCUUGCCAAGUGCCUCCGAUUCAUGCUCUCUUAGCAAUGGAUAGUUGUUCUAUAAAAACACCCUUGCCCAUAAAGCAUCAGCUGAUUUAUUGGCUUUUGUCAGCCUGAUGGGUGAAAAGUGGUACCUUGCUGUAGUUUUCAUUUGCAUUUCCCUUCGGGUGAGUUAGAUUCGGCAUUUUUCACAUGUUUGAGUAACUUGUGUUUUCUUUUCUAUAAAACUGUCUCUUCAUAUCUUUUGCCAUUUUUGCCAUUGCUUUUUGCUUAUUCAUUUGCAGGAACUCUUUAUAGAUGUGGGAAAUUAGCCAUUUGGCUAACAAACUGCAAAUAAUUCUUCCUAGUUUGUCAUUCAUCCUUGGACUUUGCUCAUUGCGUUUUUACCAUGGGGAUAUAUAUUUUUUUAUUCUUACAUACUUGAAUCUGUCAUCUCUUGAUGACUCCUUGGUUUUGUGUCAGACUCAGAAAGGUCUUUCCCACUCCAAGAUUAUAAAAAUUUUUCUAUGGUGUCACUUGGUAAUUAUAUAUUUCCACGUUUUUAACAUUUAAUUUUUUCUCUUUUUGGAAGCUAUUUUGGGGUAUAGUGUGAUCUUACUCUGUUCUUUUUAGAUGGCUUCCCAACGUUUCCAACUCUCUCUACUGAGAAUUUGUCCUUUAUUCAUUUGAGAUGCUAUUUUUAUCAUAUACUAAAUUUUCUUUAUGUAUUUGGAUCUAUUUAUGAAUUUUUUGCUUAUUUUCAUUUAUCUAUCUGGUCUUACAUCAGCAACAUAGCACUCUAAAGACCACAGUUUUAUAGUAUGUUUGUAUUUUUUUUUUUUUUUUUAGAGACAGUCUUGCUGUGUCGCCCAGGCUGGAGUGCAGUGGCACGAUCUUGGCUCACUGCAAGCUCCACCUCCUGGGUUCACCCCAUUCUCCUGCCUCAGCCUCCCGAGUAGCUGGGACUACAGGCACCGGCCACCAGCCCAGCUAAUUUUUUUGUAUUUUUAGUAGAGACGAGGUUUCACCGUGUUAGCUAGGGUGGUCUUGAUCUCCUGACCUCGUGAUCCGCCCACCUCGGCCUCCCAAAGUGCUGGGACUACAGGCAUGAUCCACCAUGCCUGGCCUAUAGUAUGUUUUAAUCAUGAAGUUUGAGAGUCUCUGGUUCCCCUGGGUCCUGAGGAGGGGAGGACAGAGAUGCUCAGGACAGGGUGAGAGGGAGCCAUUCACAGCAGGCUGGGUGCUGAGUAGAUCUGGUGCUUAUGUGGGGACCUUCCUCCUCCUCCCCAGUCUGCCAAAAUCUCCUGUUUCCCAGAAAUCUCUCCCAGGUGAGUGUUCAG